UAUUUAGUAGUUUAUCAUAAAACAAAAAAUUUUCAAUUUUUUAUUUCAAUUCUCUCCAUUGACUAGAUAA
rnacentral:tRNA from 1 species